rnacentral:rRNA from 1 species
GUAUCGUCAGUUACCAUCGGGUCAGUGCCGGGGACUCUGGCGGGACUGCCCGUGUCGAAGCGGGAGGAAGGCGCGGAUGACGUCAAGUCAGUAUGGCUCUUAGCCCAGGGCUGCACACGUGCUACAAUGGCCGGUACAGUGGGAAGCGACACCGCGAGGUGGAGCCAAAUCCCCAAAACCGGCCCCAGUUCAGAUUGCAGUCUGCAACUCGACUCCAUGAAGGCGGAAUCGCUAGUAAUCGCGGAUCAGCAUGCCGCGGUGAAUACGUUCCCGGGCCUU